rnacentral:rRNA from 1 species
UACAGGGGGUGCAAACGUUGCUCGGAAUCAUUGGGCGUAAAGCGCACGUAGGCGGUUCGUUAUGUCGGAUGUGAAAGCCCUUGGCUUAACCGAGGAAGUGCAUCCGAAACUGGCGAGCUAGAGUACUAAAGAGGAUCGCGGAAUUCCCGGUGUAGAGGUGAAAUGCGUUGAUAUCGAUAGGAACUCCGGUGGCGAAGGCGGCAUACUGGACCACCACUGACGCUGAUGCGCGAAAGCCAGGGGAGCAAACGGG